GCACAAUUGAUGCAUCAAUUGCAUACCUCCGGUCCUUGUCAACAUCCUCAACAACCUUUUUCUUCUCAUCAACAGGAGGGAGGGGUAUCUACAAGUUAUGCGAAUAUGCAAUCAGAAAGAAUAACAUGGAUAGCUAUACUCUAUUAAGUAUGGCACCAAACAAAUCAAAUAAGAGAACCAGAAAAUACCUUGAUCCUCCUCAUCCUGUCAGUAAAUUUCGAAUUGAACUCAAAAGAAUCAUUGGGCGAAAUAGUUCUACCAGCUGGUUCUUUGCUAAGAAUCUUGUAUUUCGCGCAAGAGAGAGAAUGGAG
rnacentral:lncRNA from 1 species